rnacentral:rRNA from 1 species
UACGGGGGGGGCAAGCGUUGUUCGGAAUUACUGGGCGUAAAGGGCUCGUAGGCGGCCAACUAAGUCAUACGUGAAAUCCCUCGGCUUAACCGGGGAACUGCGUCUGAUACUGGAUGGCUUGAGUUCGGGAGAGGGAUGCGGAAUUCCAGGUGUAGCGGUGAAAUGCGUAGAUAUCUGGAGGAAUACCGGUGGCGAAGGCGGCAUCCUGGACCGAGAUUGACGCUGAGGAGCGAAAGCUAGGGGAGCAAACGGG